rnacentral:lncRNA from 1 species
UCCCAUCUGCUACCUUUUGUUCCAGAAUUAAUUUUAAUGAUGGCAGAACUUUCUUGCAUGUGCUUGAGGUGGCCUAUGUAAUUAACUGUUGGAUCUGCUGUUAGAGAUUGCUAACCAGAAUAGUUUAUGGCUUCAUUGCUUUUGUGAUAAGAUGAGAAUAGAAGAAAUGCUUUUGGUGAAGGUAGUGAUGUAGAACUGAGGUCAGAUUUUAGGAACUAAAUGUGUUAGGUAUUUAGUCUGUCAGAUGAGUGAGACUUUUGGAACUUCAAGACUAAAUCUGUGGCCUGGAAUCCAGAUUCAGUUCCAGGCAGUCAUCUCUAUCAGAAAAAAAAAUUCCAGAGCCUUCUCCUGUAACAAGGAGAAAGGCAUAUGAGAAAGCAGAAAAAUCAAAGGCCAAGGAACAAAAGCAGGGCAUAAUCAACCCAUUUCCUGCUUCAAAAGGAAUCAGAGCUUUUCCACUUCAGUGUAUUCACAUAGCUGAAGGGCAUACAAAAGCUGUGCUCUGUGUGGAUUCUACUGAUGAUCUCCUCUUCACUGGAUCAAAAGGUAUCGUACUUGUAAAG